UACGUAGGGCGCAAGCGUUGUCCGGAAUUAUUGGGCGUAAAGAGCUCGUAGGUGGUUUGUCGCGUCUGUUGUGGAAAGCCCGGGGCUUAACUCCGGGUUUGCAGUGGAUACGGGCAGGCGUAGAGGCAGGUAGGGGAGAACGGGAAUUCCCGGUGAUAGCGGUGAAAUGCGCAGAUAUCGGGGAGGAACGACCGGUGGCGAAGGCGGUUCUCUGGGCCUGUACUGACGCUGAGGAGCGAAAGCGUGGGGAGCGAACAGG
rnacentral:rRNA from 1 species